rnacentral:lncRNA from 1 species
UAGACUUCUCAGAAUUGCCACCGCAGGAGUGCAAUCUAUUCGACAACUUCAUCUGUCGGGGCUGACUGGCUAAGGCAGUGCUUGAGACACCAAGGCCUGCAACGAAGUAAAAAGAAAUCACAAUUGUAAAUGUUUAAGGAGGUGUUUGGAUCCAUGGACUAAUUUUUAGUUCGGAUCACAUCGGAUGUUUGGAUACCAAUUAGAAGGAGUAAUUAUAAAACUAAUUGCAUAAGUCGUGGCUAAUUUGCGAGACAAAUCUAUUAAGCUUAAUUAAUUCAUGAUUAAUACAUAUUUACUGUAACAUCACAUGGUCAAAUCAUGGAUUAAUUAGGCUUAAUAGAAUCGAAUGAACUCCAAAUUCCAAGUUCCAAACAAUAGAGAACAUAUGUCAGGGAAAGAGUCAGGAUGGGAGGAACUUGCCUGCCUAGGACUGGUUCCGGGACAUCUUGAGGUGGUCGCCGUGGUGCUCUUCAGCGGAGGCUUCAGGCUUGGCUGCUUGAGCACCUGCCCUGCUCACCGGCGAUUGCUGAGCAGCCGCCGCUGCUUGUUGUGGAGGAGCGGGGAAACGAGGAUGCGGCACUCGCAGCCGGAGCAUAGCACUGCCUCGUCGGCGCAGCACAGCACGGCGGCCGCUCGACGCCGCAAAUGUCG